GCUGGGUGUCUGGGCAUACGACCCUGACCUCUUCUGGUCUCCAAAGCUAAGCAGCCUUGGGCCUGGCUGGUACUUGGAUGGGAGAACUUGAGCAGGAGCCCGAGAGCUCUGAGCU
ensembl:rRNA 5S_rRNA 5S ribosomal RNA